rnacentral:rRNA from 1 species
AGGCUUAACACAUGCAAGUCGAGGGGCAGCAUUUCUAGCUUGCUAGAAGAUGGCGACCGGCGGACGGGUGCGUAACGCGUAUGUAACUUGCCUAUAACUAAGGGAUAACUCAGAGAAAUUUGCGCUAAUACCUUAUGUGAUCUUUUUUUCACCUGAUAAAAAGAUUAAAGAAUUUCGGUUAUAGAUAGGCAUGCGUCCUAUUAGCUAGUUGGUAAGGUAACGGCUUACCAAGGCGACGAUAGGUAGGGGGCCUGAGAGGGUGAUCCCCCACACUGGUACUGAGACACGGACCAGACUCCUACGGGAGGCAGCAGUGAGGAAUAUUGGUCAAUGGAGGCAACUCUGAACCAGCCAUCCCGCGUGAAGGAUUGAAGGCGCUCGACGUCGUAAACUUCUUUUAUAUAGGAAUAAACUUAGGUACGUGUACUUAACUGAAUGUACUAUAUGAAUAAGCAUCGGCUAACUCCGUGCCAGCAGCCGCGGUAAUACGGAGGAUGCAAGCGUUAUCCGGAUUUAUUGGGUUUAAAGGGUCCGCAGGCGGACCAGUCAGUCAGUGGUGAAAUCCCAUCGCUCAACGAUGGAACUGCCAUUGAUACUGCUGGUCUUGAGUUUAGUUGACGUAGGCGGAAUAUGACAUGUAGCGGUGAAAUGCAUAGAUAUGUCAUAGAACACCAAUUGCGAAGGCAGCUUACGAAACUACAACUGACGCUCAUGGACGAAAGCGUGGGUAGCGAACAGGAUUAGAUACCCUGGUAGUCCACGCCGUAAACGAUGAUCACUCGAUGUCAGCGAUAUACUGUUGGUGUCUUAGCGAAAGUUUUAAGUGAUCCACCUGGGGAGUACGUUCGCAAGAAUGAAAC